rnacentral:tRNA from 1 species
GAGAUAUUAGUAAAUAAAUUACAUAACUUUGUCGGAGUUAAGUUAUAGGUUGACCCUAUAUAUCUUA